AGUAAAAUGACCGAGAGUUAGGUGAUAAAUUGUAAAUUUAUUUACGGAGUAAAUCCUUUUACUA
rnacentral:tRNA from 2 species